rnacentral:rRNA from 1 species
UGGGGAAUAUUGGACAAUGGGCGCAAGCCUGAUCCAGCAAUACCGCGUGUGUGAAGAAGGCCUGAGGGUUGUAAAGCACUUUCAAUGGGGAGGAACACCUGCUGGUUAAUACCCGGCAGACUGACAUUACCCAUACAAGAAGCACCGGCUAACUCCGUGCCAGCAGCCGCGGUAAUACGGAGGGUGCGAGCGUUAAUCGGAAUUACUGGGCGUAAAGCGUGCGUAGGCGGCCGUUUAAGUCAGAUGUGAAAGCCCUGGGCUUAACCUGGGAACUGCAUUUGAUACUGGACGGCUAGAGUUUGGUAGAGGGGGGCGGAAUUUCAGGUGUAGCGGUGAAAUGCGUAGAGAUCUGAAGGAACACCAGUGGCGAAGGCGGCCUCCUGGACCAAAACUGACGCUGAGGUACGAAAGCGUGGGUAGCAAACAGG